AACACGGACCAAGGAGUUUAUCGUGUGCGCAAGUCAUUGGGUGUUGAAAACUCAAAGGCGCAAUGAAAGUAAAGAAUCCGCAAGGAUACGACGUGUGAUCUGAGCAAUCACGAUUGCCUGGAGCAACAUGGCCCCAUUCUGGUCGCUUGCGACGGGGUGGAGGAAGAGCGUACGCGGUGAGACCCGAAAGAUGGUGAACUAUUCCUGAGCAGGAUGAAGCCAGAGGAAACUCUGGUGGAAGUCCGAAGCGAUUCUGACGUGCAAAUCGAUCGUCUGACUUGGGUAUAGGGGCGAAAGACUAAUCGAACCAUCUAGUA
rnacentral:rRNA from 1 species